rnacentral:lncRNA from 1 species
UAACAUCAAUCAAGUAAGUAGUAAGAUGAUGGCUUUUGCUUCCUCCGAUGUUUUCUCAAUUUCAUCACACCUUCUUUCUUACUGAUCUUGUUCUUGUGUGUGUGUGGGUGGGGGUUAAAGAAGAACAUUGAUUGAUGAGGAAGGGAGGAAGAAACAUGGUAAAGUUACAAAACUACCCUUAAUUGAUUAGAUUUAACUGAAAAUUUUAACUUAGUUAGUGCUAAAGGAUGAAAGAUGUAAUGAGUUUUUUCCAAUAAAAGAUUGUGACUGUAAUUAUUAAACUUAAAGAUUAUCCAUUGCAAUCUACUACAAACAUAAAGUGUAAUUUACCCUAAAAAAAGAUAAAAAAACGAGAAUAAGGAGAAACAUUGGACUCCGUUAUCCAAGACCCCCAAAGAGGUUCUUAUGAAUAACCACAAAGUAAUCAUCGUGUUUAUUUAGAACGAUUAGAUGAAACAACCUUAAUCUCUUUAUCUAGAAGCUAACAAAAGAAGGCCAAUAUAAUUCAUUCAAACAAGCUUAAGCUUUUGGGGGGUGUUAGACUCCAUGAAUAUCACAUUCGUUCCAAUUUAUCUCUCUCUACCUUCCCCCAUCUCCCUAAAAACUCUGCCAGUAUGUUAUGUUAGAUCACAACAAGUAGGGGGGCUGUUUAAAAAAAGUGGUCCUGAUUGAAUGAAAUAUCUCAUUAGUCCUCCCAUCACCCUUUUAAUUGUCGGCAAGAAAAGCUGAAUUCAUGCUGCUGCUUCUGAUUCUCAAUGCAAAGAUUAGCUGAAUCCGGUGUGCCACAACAAGAAGUGGAAGCACAUUCUUGCUGCCAUGAAUGCAACAAGUUGGAGACUUGAUGGUGCUGAUUGCAGUCUUUAUAUGGUUUCUCAAGUGCCAAAGCCAUCUCAAGAAGCUAAUGCUAGCUAGCAUUGGCAACGAUGAUUGUCAUGUCGUAUGUAUGGAUGUAUAUAUUUCUUUCUUUCUUUCUUUUAUUUCUAUUCAUGUUUCAAGCAAAGAGUACUUGUGUUGGCCGCACACUUUGUUAUACAUAACUCUUUUGUAGUAUAUGCAGCAGCACACACAAGUUUUACAGCCUUGAUGGGGUACUCUCACCUGAAUUAGUAAACCUUCCUUACCUCCGGUCCAUAGAGAGAUUUUGCUUACAAUUACUUAUUAAGUGGCACAAUACCGCCUGAAUGGGGUUCAACAACGUUACAAGAAAUCUCCCUUCUUGGUAACCGUUGUUUAACUGGCCGGAACUAGGCAAUAUCACCACCCUCAUAAAUAAAACUGGACUUUGAGUUUUCAGGACCUCUUCCAUCCGAGUUAGGGAGAUUAACAAAUUUGAGUAAAUUGAUGGAUGUUGUCUUCAAACAUGUUGACCGGAAAGCUGCCAGCGACCCUCGGUCAACUAGGAAAUCUAAAAG